rnacentral:rRNA from 1 species
UGCGUAGGGACCAAGCGUUGUUCGGAUUUACUGGGCGUAAAGGGCGCGUAGGCGGCAAUUCAAGUCAUCUGUGAAAUCUCCGGGCUUAACUCGGAACGGUCAGGUGAUACUGCCUUGCUAGAGUGCGGAAGGGGCAAUCGGAAUUCUUGGUGUAGCGGUGAAAUGCGUAGAUAUCAAGAGGAGCACCUGAGGUGAAGACGGGUUGCUGGGCCGACACUGACGCUGACAGCGCGAAAGCCAGGGGAGCAAACGGG